GUAGCUUGCUACCGGACCUAGCGGCGGACGGGUGAGUAAUGCUUAGGAAUCUGCCUAUUAGUGGGGGACAACAUCUCGAAAGGGAUGCUAAUACCGCAUACGUCCUACGGGAGAAAGCAGGGGAUCUUCGGACCUUGCGCUAAUAGAUGAGCCUAAGUCGGAUUAGCUAGUUGGUGGGGUAAAGGCCUACCAAGGCGACGAUCUGUAGCGGGUCUGAG
rnacentral:rRNA from 2 species